rnacentral:lncRNA from 1 species
AAGUCAAUAAUUUGUCUAAAAACUCAAGAUAUGGCACCAACCAUUACUAUCAAUAAUACGUUUCACUUAUUAUCUUUGAAUAUAUGUGUUAUCUUCAAUGCCUUAUAACUCCUUCAUCUAGACUUAGAAUUCAUCAAACAGUAUAUUAAAAGUGUAGUCAAAAAAAUAUUCUCUCCAAUCCUAGUUGCCAAUUCUUUGUUGCUCUCUAUAAGCAUAUGUUAUGCUCCAAAGAGAGAUAGUAGAUACAAAUUUGAUAUCUUAACUUUGAGCACCUUUAAUUCCUUCAUAAAAACUCCAA